rnacentral:rRNA from 1 species
GCCCGCUCAGAAACUCAAAGGAAUUGACGGGGGCCCGCACAAGCGGAGGAACAUGUGGUUUAAUUCGAUGAUACGCGAGGAACCUUACCCGGGCUUGAAAUGCAUCUGACCGGCCUUGAAAGAGGCACCUCCCUUCGGGGCAGAUGUGUAGGUGCUGCAUGGUUGUCGUCAGCUCGUGCCGUGAGGUGUCGGCUUAAGUGCCAUAACGAGCGCAACCCUCAUCAUUAGUUACCAUCAGGUAAGGCUGGGGACUCUAAUGAGACUGCCAUCGUAAGAUGUGAGGAAGGUGGGGAUGACGUCAAAUCAGCACGGCCCUUACGUCCGGGGCGACACACGUGUUACAAUGGGUGGUACAAAGGGCAGCUACCUGGCGACAGGAUGCUAAUCUCGAAAACCGCUCUCAGUUCGGAUCGGAGUCUGCAACUCGACUCCGUGAAGCUGGAUUCGCUAGUAAUCGCGCAUCAGCCACGGCGCGGUGAAUACGUUCCCGGGCCUU